GACGAACGCUGGCGGCGUGCUUAACACAUGCAAGUCGAACGGAAAGGCCUGCUUUCCCUUGUGGAUUGCGGGUACUCGGGUGGCGAACUGGUGAGUAACACGUGAGUGAUCUGCCCCCAACUUGGGUAUAAGCCUGGGAAACUGGGUCUAAUUCCCGAUAGGACUGCAGGGUGGUGCCUGUGGUGGCAAACGAUUUUCUAGUGGUUGGGGAUGAGCUCGCGGCCUAUCAGCUUGUUGGUGGGGUAAUGGCCUACCAAGGCGGCGACGGGAAGCCGGCCGGAGAGGGUGGACGGCAACAUUGGGACUGAGAUACGGCCCAGACUGCUAGGGGAGGCAGGAGUGGGGAAUAUUGCAAAAUGGGCGGAAGCCUGAUGCAGCGACGCCGCGGGGGGGAUGACGGGCUUCGGGUUGUAAACUCCUUUCGACCGCGAGGAAGCCACCUGGUUGGAAGGGUGGUGACGGUAGUGGUAGAAGAAGCACCGGCUAACUACGUG
rnacentral:rRNA from 1 species